CUGUUUGAGAGGUUAGCGAUGUUUUCGCAAAUUUUCUGCAAUUAGUUGCUAGUGGUCUUUCCUUUACUAGCACUUUGGUUUGGAAAAGUUUUGGCUUUGAUCGGCAACUCGGACUCUACUACUCUAAGAGCAGUAAGUUACUACUUUGUUUUACUACUAUUAUCUCUGUUAGCAGUCAAUUUCUCCUAUCUCCUGUCAUAAUGCAUAUAUGUUAUUAACUGAAAUUUAAGUGCCAGGCAUCCACUCUCUGUUACUCCAAUUUGAACUCAAUGAUUAAACUUCUUAAACCAAUCAGUACUUGCCCAACUGAUGGGCCAACCAGAAUAUGAACUCUCAACUGCAUCUAGAAAGGUAUCGUGGUUAUGAAAUAUCUGUUGCAUAUUAUGCCUUUGAAUUGGGGAAUGCCACAGUUAUGUAUCUAUGUUGUUUUCUUCCCUGUCUUGGUUUCUUCCUAGUUCUGUCUUAAUGCAAAGUACAAGGAGAAAGGACUUAUUUAAUAGAGAUGUCUUAUCAUCUAUUAGCAAUUAUGUUAUUUGCAAGCUUCAUUGUUAGCAAUAUUGUCAUUGUAUAUCUCUUGCUAGUGCCAUUAAAAUUGCGAUGUAUUAUGCAGUUAAAAAUGCUGGCCUAACACUGUAGCGUGUUUAUAUUUAAUUCUACAAGUGAAGCAUAUUAGUUAGUAAUGUGUACUCGUUUAUUAACGGUUGGGGGCGCUGGAAUUUGGAUUUGGUUUGCAGAUUCUGUGUUGCCGGAUACCUUCAUAUUGUUAAAAAUUGUGUGGGAAUCAAAAGGGUUGAGUAGGAUUUAAACACUCAAUUGGGACACAUUUCGGCCACUAAAAGUGUGUUUUUUGAUGAUAUUUUAGAACCUAAUAUUAACUUGUGUAUCUUCAUAUUCCUCUCUUCGAAUUUCUAACUGAAAAGUAACAAAUGUCCUUAUCGGUUCUUCCUUGCCGACUUUUCUCUCAUAUUUUGAAAUCAAAAAGGCUGAAACCAUUGAUUUUAUGCUUUGUAAACUUCAAAUCCAAAUUGUGUGUGUUGAUUUCUUUGAAAAACUCACAUGACCAUCAUUUUGACUCGGAAAGAAUAGGAUUGAGAUUGUUUGAGGCUGUUGAAAUGUGAACGACUCAAGGAUAGAGUUGAGACCUAAAUUGGAGAACAAAUUUCCCUUUUUUGUAAAUUUAUUCUUGAUUAAUUCGUCAUGUUGGGUUUUUCUCAUAAGCUUGCUUUGAAAUUUUUUGUUGUUAUACAUUUAAAAUAAUUGUAUGAAUUUACAGAAAUCAUGUUAGUCCAUGUUAACAUCUUAUAUUUGCAGAUGUAUCAUAGAAAAAUGUCGAAAAAUCUAUAUUAUCCAACUAUGAGUUGUUUUAUUUGUGCACUUUGGGAAAUUAAAUACUAUGCUAUGCGUAGAGCGGUUGUCUAGAUGCCAAUUAAAUUUGCUUUUCUUUCUUUUUUUUUUUUUCUUUUCAAGAAGAUUUCGUGAAUUUUGUGAAUAUUGUUACAUAAUUUCAAGAUUUCAUAAAUGUUUUUUAAUGAACAAAAAGUUUGGUAAAUCAAAUAAUACUAGAUAUGAGAAAUUUUUUCCAGUUUUUAUGAGGAACGAACUAUAGUGUAUUUUUAAAAAAUUUGUUGUUUUUUCUUUUGCUAAAAUUUGUUUUCUCUUAUCAAGUGUUUUCUGUUAUCAACGUAUUUUUUUAAAAUGAGCAUCAAGUGUACUAAUUUCUCUAAUAUAAAAUUGCAAAAGUCUGAAUUUUUUGUGUAGUUUAACAAGUAUAUAAAUUUACUGGUUUGUGGAUAAGUGCAUAAAAAAGUCACGUAUUUUUAUUUUAAGAGAAAAUUUAUUUUCAUUUUUUUAAAGCAGUUUUUGUAUUAUUGGGAAAACUUUGAAGUUUGAAGUGCAUUCGGUUUAUUACUUUUGAACAAAUGGAUAAUUUUUCUUUAGACUUCCAAAAAAGUGUAUAAUUAACUUUUUUUGUUGUGAUAAAUAAUUGAUUUCAUAAUACUUAAAGAAAUCUUUUAAGAUGAUAGGCGCACAGGUAAUUAAAAAAUAAACAAUGAGAUUGGCAUCUAGACAACCGUUUUACAGUGUAGUAUAUGAUAUUUUAUUUCCGAAGUUCAAAAAUAAACUAAUUUGUGGUUGAGUAGUAGCGAUUUUUCAACAAAUUUUACUGUGAUCCACCUACAAAGUUUGGAUGUCGAUAUGGACAAAUAUGGUGUUUCUGUAUGAUUUGUACAAAAGUCUUAAAUGUAUGACAAACAAAAGGUUUUGAAAAGGCUAAUGGGAUAAAACCUAACAUAAUGAAUAAGUUAGAGAAUAAA